GUACUCAUCUGUAAUUUAUUCAUUUAUAUCAAUAUCUGCUUCCCUCUCCAGACUGUAAGCUCCCAUAGGGACGGGAUUUGUCUAUCAAUUUUGCUGUACUGUUAUGUUGUUAUAGGGCACUCUCCCAAGCUCUUAGUUAAUUGUUAUGCCAUUUCUCCUUUUUUCAGCAUGUGCAGAGUAGUAGAUGAUGUGCUCAGUUCGAUGGGAAAUGUCUAAUUCCAAACCAAUUCAGUUCACGUUUUCCUAGGCUGUCAAACUCCAAUCAGUUCAUUUCAUUCUUGAUUGUUUCCAGCUGUCCCUGGUUCAUAUUUCACAAAUUCCAUGUAUCAAUACUAAGCAUAUUUCUGCAGUUUUGGAUACUUCAGGUCUCUCAUGGCAAUAUCAGCAACCAGAGGGGCCUAAGGCUUUAUUCCAGCAAUUGUCACAAACACCAUGGUGCUCUGAAUCAUUGUCUGCUUUCCUCCAGUAAUUCGUUGAGUGCCUUCCAUCCUGAGGAAUUCAUCUUCAAGCACUAUAUCCAUAGUGUUUCUGUUACAUUGACAACUCAUGAAGACAGCUUUCAGAUGUUUGUUUAGGAAGAUCUUCUAUCACACUCGACCAUUGUGGAGCAAUAUCAUGGUGAGGAUCGUGUCUCCGCCUUCCUUUGGGAGCAUCUCCACCUGGAUUUCUGCCAACUAAAUCUCAACAGGUCUAAGACUGAUCCCCUUAUCUUGCCUCCCAAACCCUGUCUUCUCCCUGACUUCCCUGUCACUGUGAAUGGCACUACCAUCCUUCCCGU